rnacentral:rRNA from 1 species
UGUGCCAGCAGCCGCGGUAAUACGUAGGGUGCGAGCGUUAAUCGGAAUUACUGGGCGUAAAGGGUGCGUAGGCGGUUAGUUAAGUCUGUUGUGAAAUCCCCGGGCUCAACCUGGGAAUGGCAAUGGAUACUGGCUAGCUAGAGUGUGUCAGAGGAUGGUGGAAUUCCCGGUGUAGCGGUGAAAUGCGUAGAGAUCGGGAGGAACAUCAGUGGCGAAGGCGGCCAUCUGGGACAACACUGACGCUGAAGCACGAAAGCAUGGGGAGCAAACAGGAUUA